rnacentral:rRNA from 1 species
UACGGAGGAUGCGAGCGUUAUCCGGAUUUAUUGGGUUUAAAGGGCGCGUAGGCGGGAUGCCAAGUCAGCGGUAAAAAUGCGGUGCUCAACGCCGUCGAGCCGUUGAAACUGGCGUUCUUGAGUGGGCGAGAAGUACGCGGAAUGCGUGGUGUAGCGGUGAAAUGCAUAGAUAUCACGCAGAACUCCGAUUGCGAAGGCAGCAUACCGGCGCCCUACUGACGCUGAGGCACGAAAGCGUGGGUAUCGAACAGG